UACGGGGGGGGCAAGCGUUGUUCGGAAUUACUGGGCGUAAAGGGCUCGUAGGCGGCCAACUAAGUCGGAUGUGAAAUCCCCAGGCUCAACCUGGGAACUGCAUCCGAUACUGGAUGGCUUGAAUUCGGGAGAGGGAUGCAGAAUUCCAGGUGUAGCGGUGAAAUGCGUAGAUAUCUGGAGGAAUACCGGUGGCGAAGGCGGCAUCCUGGACCGACAUUGACGC
rnacentral:rRNA from 1 species